GGGGCAUUAGCUCAGCUGGGAGAGCGCAUGGCUGGCAGCCAUGAGGUCGGGGGUUCGAUCCCCCCAUGUUCCACCA
rnacentral:tRNA from 1 species